GGAAAUUUCGUGGGGAUUCCUCAGCUCGAACGGCAUCGAAGUAACGACGAGAUAAAACAAGCUUCUUAUCCAUAACUCCCG
rnacentral:ncRNA from 1 species